rnacentral:rRNA from 1 species
UGGAGGUAGUGACAAUAAAUCACAAUGCGGGACUAUCAGUCUUGCAAUUGGAUUGAGAACAAUGUACAACUCUUAUCGAUAAGCCAUUGGAGGGCAAGUCUGGUGCCAGCAGCCGCGGUAAUUCCAGCUCCAAUAGCGUAUAUUAACGUUGUUGCAGUUAAAAAGCUCGUAGUUGAAGUGUGGGUGAUCGCUGUUGUGAGACUUCGGUCUCUCGACAGUAAGUCACCCCCUUCCAGUAUCCAGUAGUGGGUAUUCAGUUACUUACUAUUGUGUGUUGGUCAUUUACUGUGAGAAAAUUAGAGUGUUCAAAGCAGGCGUUUGCUUGAAUAGAUUAGCAUGGAAUAAUAAUUGAAGGCUUUCGUGUUCGAUUUGAUUGGUUUGUUCAUGGAAGCAAGGUUAAAAGGAACAGUUGGGGGUAUUCAUAUUCACUAGUUAGAGGUGAAAUUCUCGGAUUUAUGGAAGAUGAACAAGUGCGAAAGCAA